UACGUAGGGUGCAAGCGUUAAUCGGAAUUACUGGGCGUAAAGCGUGCGCAGGCGGUUAUGUAAGACAGAUGUGAAAUGCCCGGGCUUAACCUGGGAACUGCAUUUGUGACUGCAUGGCUAGAGUUUGGCAGAGGGGGGUAGAAUUCCACGUGUAGCAGUGAAAUGCGUAGAUAUGUGGAGGAACACCGAUGGCGAAGGCAGCCCCCUGGGUCAAGAUUGACGCUCAUGCACGAAAGCGUGGGGAGCAAACGAGG
rnacentral:rRNA from 1 species